CAGUAGCCACGGGAAUACAGAGGAUGCAAGCGUUAUCCGGAAUGAUUGGGCGUAAAGGGCUCGCAGGCGGUUUCUUAAGUCUGAUGUGAAAGCCCCCGGCUCAACCGGGGAGGGUCAUUGGAAACUGGGGAACUUGAGUGCAGAAGAGGAGAGUGGAAUUCCACGUGUAGCGGUGAAAUGCGUAGAGAUGUGGAGGAACACCAGUGGCGAAGGCGACUCUCUGGUCUGUAACUGACGCUGAGGAGCGAAAGCGUGGGGAGCGAACAGGAUUAGAUACCCGAGUAGUCCCUGUCUCUUAUAC
rnacentral:rRNA from 1 species